UAUGGCAACCAUGCGGACGAAGUCUAGUAACAGCUUCCUGUUGCAAUCAGUUACUUCAAUGACUGAUUUAUUUGUUCGAAAAUCUUUCCGAACAACAGCGAUGAUGUUCUUAGGAAAAUCAUUCCAAUGACCAUCCUGGUAAAAGAGCAGGCGUUCAAGUGAGUCGCUUUUCAUAAAAUUAUGAUAGCUUCUAACAAAGUUUUUCUCAGG
rnacentral:misc_RNA from 1 species